UCAGUAGGCGGUGUGGCAAGUUGGGAGUGAAAUCUCUGGGCUCAACCCAGAGGCUGCUUCCAAAACUGCUGUGCUUGAGUGUGGGAGAGGCGCGUGGAAUUGCAGGUGUAGCGGUGAAAUGCGUAGAUAUCUGCAGGAACACCCGUGGCGAAAGCGGCGCGCUGGACCACAACUGACGCUGAAUGACGAAAGCUAGGGGAGCAGACA
rnacentral:rRNA from 1 species